GUAGGGGCAAGCGUUGUCCGGAAUUAUUGGGCGUAAAGCGCACGCAGGCGGUCAUUUAAGUCUGGUGUUUAAUCCCGGGGCUCAACCCCGGAUCGCACUGGAAACUGGGUGACUUGAGUGCAGAAGAGGAGAGUGGGAUUCCACGUGUAGCGGUGAAAUGCGUAGAUAUGUGGAGGAACACCAGUGGCGAAGGCGACUCUCUGGGCUGUAACUGACGCUGAGGCGCGAAAGCGUGGGAGCAAACAGGAUUAGAUACCCUGGUAGUCCACGCCGUAAACGAUGAGUGCUAGGUGUUAGGGGUUUCGAUACCCUUGGUGCCGAAGUUAACACAUUAAGCACUCCGCCCUGGGGAGUACGGUCGCAAGACUG
rnacentral:rRNA from 1 species